rnacentral:rRNA from 1 species
GAUCCUGGCUCAGGAUGAACGCUAGCUACAGGCUUAACACAUGCAAGUCGAGGGGAAACGACAUCGAAAGCUUGCUUUUGAUGGGCGUCGACCGGCGCACGGGUGAGUAACGCGUAUCCAACCUGCCCAUCACUUGGGAAUAACCUUGCGAAAGUAAGACUAAUGCCCAAUGAUAUCCCACGAAGGCAUCCGAAUGGGAUUAAAGAUUUAUCGGUGUACGAUGGGGAUGCGUUCCAUUAGGUAGUAGGG